rnacentral:rRNA from 1 species
GACGAACGCUGGCGGCGUGCCUAACACAUGCAAGUCGAGCGAGUGGAGUUCUUCGGAACAAAGCUAGCGGCGGACGGGUGAGUAACACGUGGGCAACCUGCCUCAUAGAGGGGAAUAGCCUCCCGAAAGGGAGAUUAAUACCGCAUAAGAUUGUAGCUUCGCAUGAAGUAGCAAUUAAAGGAGCAAUCCGCUAUGAGAUGGGCCCGCGGCGCAUUAGCUAGUUGGUGAGGUAACGGCUCACCAAGGCGACGAUGCGUAGCCGACCUGAGAGGGCGAUCGGCCACAUUGGGACUGAGACACGGCCCAGACUCCUACGGGAGGCAGCAGCGGGGAAUAUUGCACAAUGGGGGAAACCCUGAUGCAGCAACGCCGCGUGAGUGAUGACGGCCUUCGGGUUGUAAAGCUCUGUCUUCAGGGACGAUAAUGACGGUACCUGAGGAGGAAGCCACGGCUAACUACGUGCCAGCCGCCGCUGUAAUAC